GAUGGCAUGGAAUACUCACUCACCAUCAUCAAUACCAUGGAAAUGGCAGCAGUGGACAUGAACAUGAGAGAAGCAGUGGCAGUUGUGGAAGGUCUCCUCUGCUACCGAUUCAGAGACAAGACUCUCGUCCAGGAGGCCUUGACCCACUCCUAUAAAGAUUCCCCUUCCUACCAGCGCC